UGUCUGUCUCAUCUGGUUCUUUUCACUUUAGGAUGGAUUCACUUGCUGGAGUCAUCCUACCCCGGAAUCAUGUCAGAAAUGUUCAUCUUCAUCCCUGCGGGACAUUAUGAGCUGCCUCCUGGGACCACUGAGGUGAGGGACACUGGAGGGAGACUCCAGCACUCCUGAGUCCAGUUUAGGGGUGGAUGUGUAGCGUGGUCCAACCCGACCUAUUAGCCCUCGGACGUCCCUGUGAAGAGCUGGAUCACUUGGAAUGGAAUUGAGACGCACUCCCUGCUCAAGGCCCCCGAUGUCCCGGUCCAAACGGGGGUUACUGGAGCUGCUGGGGGACUGGGGAUCCGCGCUGAAGUAGAGGGUUGAGCUGGACUCCGUGGGGCAAAAGUAUGGCUCCGGGCUGUCUCCAAAUACGGAUUUGCCCUCCGGUGAGCUGCGUUUGAAAUCGGAUGCGGGUGACUCCAGCGGGCUCUCCAUCUCCAGACUGUCAUCCUCUGCUUGUUCAAAGGACGUGGGUUCACUCACAGUCUGAAAUUCGUCUUUGCAGUCCGAGAGGGGUGCCAAGCCUUUCCCCUGAGACUCAGACAUGGACACACCCUCACAGCUGCCCCCUGCUGUGGUGGUGAUGCCUUCGUUACUCUUAAACUCCUGGUUGUACUCCUCCAUGUCCAGUAUGGCUGCCGCACCACCUGCCCCGUAUGCCCGGUUGAUCUUCCCCAGGUCGCCUGUUUUCAGGGCCAGCCGGAUGAGGAGCCAAUGAUGGUGGUAGCAAGGGCAGGAGCUGUUUGGCCUCCCUCCACAUGAGCUCGGAUGCUCCAGCAGUGAACCAGCCACACCGGAGAGGGAGAAGCUGCCGUGGUUUUGAACACCACCAACCGGCAGGCUUUUGUCCCCGAGUGAGAAGGAGGACUCCCCACGUUCUAUGCACGUGCUACCCAUGUGGUUGCGGUUCAGACCUUGGGCGAUCUCUGUUGACUUGGGGUGGAGGAACCUGUAGUAGAUGACCAGGGAGGUAGCGCCUGGUAACCAUAGAGACAGAGAUUUUUAGAGCCUUUCUUUGUUGAGUUGACUGGACUAAUAUGAUAGUAGGAGUUCUACACAAUUAAGGAAUAUGAGAGUGACUCACCAAGGAUAAAGCUACUCAGGACACUGAUGGGGAGCGUCAUGUUGUCCCAUGAUGCUUCACUCAGUAAGUCAGAGGCGGCCAGCAGUAAAGUGGUAUUCUCAAUCAGCAUGAACUGAAAACAGGAAGGUAAAAGGAAGGUAAAACCAGGCGUAGUUCUAAAUAAUUUUAAAAUCUUUUCUCACCGUAUAAAAGCUGGCCAUGCGGAAUCGUGAUGGUCCGUCUUUGAUGUUAAGAAAGAGGAAGACAUGGACAAGCCCCAGGAGGCCGUUAAAGGCACGCCAACACCAGGGACCGGUGCAGAUGUCUGGUUGCUGCGACACCAGCCAGAAGGAGGCGGUCAGCCAGUGAAAACCUGCAGACCCACCAGUUGAACACCCUGGCAAAGAACAUGAGGCAUGUCACCCUGGCACCCAGCAUGCCAGCUCUCCACACCAGCUGGCACAGAAGGGCUGCCGGAGGCAUGGCAAGGUGGCCUGGCCGGAUGAGACAGCAGGCUCGGCUGUACAGCACCAGGGCCCAGGAAAUAGACAGCACGCAAAGACCACAGGAGUAGGCAACUGGCCAAAAAUGGGUCUGUACCUUUUGAAGAUUCCCAAGUGAAGAAUGUGUAUGGUAGAGAGGUACCAUCGCCUGUCGUCACCGUCAUCAUAAUACCAUUUGACGCUCAGCAGCUGCACCGCCGUGCCCGGGAGGAAGAGUCCGAGAGUGAAGCCGGCCCACCGUGUCUCGUCGUUCCAAAGUUUUCCAAGAAUGAACCAUGUCACCCAUGUCAACCACCCACGUCGCUGUCCACCAACCACCGGUGGAUGAUCUCCUGUUGACAGGUUAUUAUCAUAGUUCCAAGGCCAGGAGGAAUGUCGCUGCACUUCACACGUGUUCACUUACACACACACACACAACAACACGGCUGUUCAAAUCUUAUCCAAACCACCCGCAGGGAUGGGGCCAAAACAUAUCAUGGUGCUUAAGGCAACUUAAAGAUGUAAAGCUUCUUCUUCGUCUGAAUCUGUGUGAGUGAGCUUUUCUUCCAUGCUGAGAAGAUCCAUCCACCUCACAAGUCUAACAUACAGUAUCAAGACUAUUGCAUCGUUGUGCCUUAUGCUGGCCACAAUAAAAGGCCGCUCCAGAAUGCACAGUUUUACAAAUUCUCAAAAAAAUGUGUCGAGAACUGAACAUUCAAUUCAUGCUAUUGUGGACAUUCCUACAGUCAGUAUGCCUUUUAUUGUGGCCAGCCUACAGGAAACGCCUGUAUAAUAAUAAUCCUGCUGUCUAAUCAGCGUCUUCAUAUGCCACACCUGUGAGAUGUGUGUCAAAGGACACAUCUAACACAGAUUUGUGUACAUGAAAAUAAGUUUAGCUCAUGAAAAAUUGACCUUUUAUUGUAUAGGGUAAAUCAGUGUUUCAAUCGGGAGUUGGACACCUAUCAAACACCUUUUGGAAAGCUUGUUUGUUUUGAUAAUAUUAUUACUAUUUUCUGAUGUUUUGUAGAAUUUCAGCAUAAGUAUUUUAAAAUGUAAACUUCUUUCACAAAAUAUUCCCAUUAUCUUGCUGGUAUGGCCUUAGUAUUGUAGAUGAUAGUUUGUCGCGUGGCCGUGAGUGCUUCCUACAGACUUUGUUUUGAGGAGGCGGCGUGCAGCACUGUAAUUUGUCCAUUGAGCAAGACAACAAGAAGAGAACAAUGCAGUGUGAUGAUUCAAGAGCUUUACGGUUUAGGAGUGGCGUGUGUUGUAAAAGGGGAACUUUGAAGGCACUUGGUGACAACAUCAGUGACAUCAUCAGGUGCCAUGGUGUCUGUCUGUGACACUUUUACACAAUCACGCAGCACAGACGCACUCUCCCUCUUCUCUUGGGACCAGUCAGACAGCACUGUCUUCCACCUGUCUCCAUGUCUUACCUGCCCUAGUCAUUAACAGGGUCCCGGAGCCCCACUGUAAGUGCACAUGUCAACAGUGAAAUUACAGGGCGCACCUCGCACACAUAUUUGUUUUGCUUUUAAAAGGGUAAUAUCAGUCUGCACGCAAAGGCUUUACGGUCGUUUUGCUUGCUGCCCUGUCCACCUUUUUACCCAAACCAAAGUGAGGUUCAAAGACAAAAGAAAAGAAGAUGAGGUGAGGGGAUGGUGAACACAUUGGAGAGCAUCAGUCCUGUUAUCUACUGUUAUGUAAGCAUAACAAUAAUCUUAUAAUUCAUAAUUCAUUGGAAAUACUGUGGGGGCAAGAAUCAUUUUCACUUGUUUGAAGAUUUUAUAGGUAUUUGUUGCCAUCCAUUGCUUGUUCUUGUCAGAGGGCACUCUGUUAGCAUAAACUGCUGCUAGCAACA